ACGCUAAAAGAAAAAAAAAUGGUACGUCUCUUAUUCUUCUUCUUCUUCUUCUUUUCCUUUUUCUUCAUUUUUUCUUUUUUUCUUUUUUUUCUUUUUUUCCUUUUUUCUUCUUUUUUUUCUUUUUUCCUUGUUUCUGUUUUUCCUCUCUCGUAAAAAGUUGAGACGUGCCUUACAAUGACCGAAGCUUCAUUCAUGGAGAACAACAGCAAUGGCAUGCAAUGCCGAUAUUGUGCAAUUAUAUUAGUGCUGUAAGACCAACAGAAUAAUGAAUGUGCAUGGAUCGAAGAUAGAUGUGGCUAAGAUGCAAUAUGAAGCAUGAAUGUGCAUGGGCAAAUCAACUACUGCAGAACAGCAAGAUGUGCUGUGUAGGAAUGUAUGGUGGACACAAGUGGAUUGGUGAGUCUCUUGUAACUUAGACUCCUCUUUUCUUUCUUGGGAUGUGGAUGCACUUGCGGAGUUUGCUACAUCCCUCUUUGUGAGAUGUGCAAUGCAAAGUGCCGAAGAGGUUAGCAAUAAGAAAGAUACGCAAAAGAAAUGACCAGCUUCAAAAGAACUUCCUGACUACAAUAUGGAACCAAGAUUAAUACCGCUAGUCCUUGUCCCAAACUACAAGCUCAUCUUUGUGGACUUUCAAGAAGAGAAUAUAUAGAAAGAGGCUAGCAAUAGGAUUAAAUCAAUUUUGGAUCACGCCAAGCACCUCAACUUUAUUACACUUAACAUGGGGUUUUAUAUAGGAGACAGGAAAAUGCUGGUUCACUAAACCAUUUAUCCAGUAUUUUCUGCCAAGUACCUGACGGCAAUUGCUCUCUACCCCUAGUAAUUGCAAGUGUUAAAUGUUCUAGAGGUUAGCACAUUUAUUCAGUCUAAAAUAAAGAAACUCUUUUUGGGGUUUUAUAUUUCUUCUACUACAAUAACAAAAUAUAUCAUUUUGAAUUUUCAGGUCUCAAAUGCAGCAGAUUUAAACUUCGAAUGGAAUACCAACCUCAAACACCCUGUUGGAGAAGUGAUACGGCCACGAUCCUUGGUAGGCUGACGCUGAUGGCUGAGCAUUCCUGAAAUAAAGACGUUUUUCUUCAUAUUUCCAUGUAGUUCAAACAGUCUAAUUAUGUUGCAGUUUUUUUGUUCAAAUAAUACAGGUUGGAUAUAGACUUACCAAGUUAAAGUUAUGCAGUCUCUUUCAUGUUGGUCAAAACAGAUGCACCAAUCUGAUUCUGUGAGCACUGCUUGCCUUGUGUUGUUUGAACCUCAAAACUUGGCACAGAUCACGACGACCGAAUUCAGCAGGCUCAAAGGAAGUAGAUAUGUAUGAAUAACCUGCGCAGUAGGUUAAAAAUAGCAUGCUGUUCAGAGAAAUGAAAAGCGAGUUAUGGACGUUAGAAAGUUGGAGAGAAGGAAGUGCUUUGCUACCU
rnacentral:lncRNA from 1 species